GUGGGGAAUCUUGCGCAAUGGGCGAAAGCCUGACGCAGCCAUGCCGCGUGAAUGAUGAAGGUCUUAGGAUUGUAAAAUUCUUUCACCGGGGACGAUAAUGACGGUACCCGGAGAAGAAGCCCCGGCUAACUUCGUGCCAGCAGCCGCGGUAAUACGAAGGGGGCUAGCGUUGCUCGGAAUUACUGGGCGUAAAGGGCGCGUAGGCGGACAGUUUAGUCAGAGGUGAAAGCCCAGGGCUCAAUCUUGGAAUUGCCUUUGAUAAUGGCUGUCUUGAGUACGGGAGAGGUGAGUGGAACUCCGAGUGUAGAGGUGAAAUUCGUAGAUAUUCGGAAGAACACCAGUGGCGAAGGCGACUCACUGGCCCGUUACUGACGCUGAGGCGCGAAAGCGUGGGGAGCAAACAGGAUUAGAAACCCGAGUAGUCC
rnacentral:rRNA from 1 species